UCGAUAUUUAACCGGGAUGAAAACAGAUUUUCCCCACCUCAGACCCCCCUAGGCUGGGCUGGGUGCUGCUACAAGGUCUGCAAAUGAAGCUGGAGGCCAGGACACGAAAUGCCUCACCCAGAGCAGCAGAGAAAGACAAAGAAACCUGAGCAAUGAGGGAGUAAUGAGUGCCAGCCAUUAGGAAAGAGCAUUGUUCCACAUCAGGUCCUGGAGAGAAGACAUUUUCCCAAGUUACUAUGGAGAUGGCUGCGAUGCAGGCAGCAAGCACAAGGGAAGGAACAGUAUUUGGAGCAGAUGGAUGCAUACGAGGUAUAUUGGAUGGUCUAAUUAAAGUGAUUGAUUCACUCCAGAAAUAUGUCAUAAUUUCUCUGGCCUUUCUUUGGUAAAAUUCUUCCUGAGCCUGCACAAACAAUCACUGUGGAGCUGGGACUAUGUCUGACAAUGGAUUUAUGCAAUGGCCAGUGCAAUGAGACCAUGACCAUGUUAACCCUGCCAAAGAGAGACCAAUUAAUGUGACAGCUGACCCUGAAAUUUGGGUUUUUGCUCCACAUUAUGCAGCUGCUCUGAAGCAUCAUCACAAGCCUGUCAUUAUUCUAUGCCUUGGUUUUCUGUAAAAUUGAGUGUUUUACCCUCUUUUGAGUGAAUAUUUUAAGACCUAAUGAUGCACCGUGCUGCUUAUUAUUAUCACCAGUGUAACACAUUAAACCAGUGUCAUAAUCUGGUGUGCUUAACAAUGAGAAAAUCGCUAGAGUUGUUAGAAGGCAGGAAAGUUGGAAAUUACUUGUUCCUGAAAAGGUAACGUGUGAAGUACUGAUGCUGCCUUCUCAUCUGUAUUCAUCACAGCAAGUAGUAACUGUUAAGGCCUUCCCAGUACAGAAGAGCAAAGCCCCAAAGGUUUGGGGACUCCAUCCCUAAAUGCCAUACAAAGUCAGGAAUCAACAAGAUCAUUAUGUUUAAUACCAAAUAUUUAAUAACGAAGGUAGCAGUGAGAUUGUGUUUCAUUCUGAUAUGUAUAAUCAGUUUUACUUGAAACAGCAAGUCACCAGCCUGGUGCCAAACCCCUGUGAAAAGGAACUCAAGAAACAAAUGUCUUUGGGUACCUUCAGGAUAUAUAUAGAAAACUAUUUUUUUGAAAGGUGUGAGUCAGACUGAGUUUGCAAGAUGUAAAUCAUGUCAGACAAAUAUUAAUUUCUAUAAAUAAAAUUAAAUAAUUGUCUAUUAAUAAAUUUAAAUAAAUUUAUAUUAAUUUCUAUAUGAUUAAUCAAAUAACUAUCAGUCUCCGUAGAGGAAGACCAAGAAAUUCCAUAAAUCUGGUGGGGUUUUUUUGUUUGUUUGUUUUUAAAAAGGUUUACCUUGAAGUGGUAUCACAUGAUGAAUUUUUGUAAAGCCUUUUAAUCCUGGCUUGUAAUUGAGGUUUGUAGUGCUGUGUCGCUGCCUCACAGAGCCUGGGCAAAGGUUAGGGGCCAGGUACCCCAAGAGAUGCCAGCCCUACAUCAAGUUUUCUACAUCCUAUGCUGGGUUUCUUCAUCCCCUGAGAUCCUGCUCCCCACUGGCAUCACAAGCACCCCAGGACAGUCCCUCCAUACACACCACAGGCACCUGGAUGGCUUUCAUUUCCAGUGGGAGGCAGCUGGAGGAAUUUGUUCAGAAAGGUCCAGUUUUUCCAGAGUUAAACUGGCGACUUGCCACCUCGUGGCUCUCCUUAUGAUGGAGCUGCCACUCACAGCCUUUGGAGGACAUGGUGAGUAAACAGCAAAUCACGAUGGAAAAUGCUGCCACACCUGCCAUCGGGACUUUAUGCAGGACCAGUGUUUAUGU